UGGGGGAAUAUUGCACAAUGGGGGAAACCCUGAUGCAGCGACGCCGCGUGAGCGAUGAAGUAUUUCGGUAUGUAAAGCUCUAUCAGCAGGGAAGAAUUAAGACGGUACCUGACUAAGAAGCACCGGCUAAAUACGUGCC
rnacentral:rRNA from 1 species